rnacentral:piRNA from 1 species
UGGCAAUUACCUUCAGUCAAGUGUUAUC